rnacentral:rRNA from 1 species
UACGUAGGGUGCAAGCGUUUGUCCGGAAUUAUUGGGCGUAAAGGGCUCGUAGGCGGUUUGUCGCGUCGGGAGUGAAAACCUACAGCUUAACUGUGGGCUUGCUUUCGAUACGGGCAGACUUGAGGCAUGCAGGGGAGAACGGAAUUCCUGGUGUAGCGGUGAAAUGCGCAGAUAUCAGGAGGAACACCGGUGGCGAAGGCGGGUCUCUGGGCCGAUACUGACGCUGGAGGAGCGAAAGCGUGGGGAGCGAACAGG